rnacentral:rRNA from 1 species
UACAGAGGGAGGCAAGCGUUGUUCGGAAUUACUGGGCGUAAAGGGCGCGUAGGCGGCCCGCUAAGUCGAACGUGAAAUCCCCAGGCUCAACCUGGGAACUGCGUCCGAUACUGGCAGGCUUGAAUCCGGGAGAGGGAUGUGGAAUUCCAGGUGUAGCGGUGAAAUGCGUAGAUAUCUGGAGGAACACCAGCGGCGAAGGCGGCAUCCUGGCCCUGUACUGACGCUGAGGCGCGAAAGCGUGGGGAGCAAACAGG